rnacentral:rRNA from 1 species
GACGAACGCUGGCGGCGUGCUUAACACAUGCAAGUCGAACGGUAAGGCCCUUCGGGGUACACGAGUGGCGAACGGGUGAGUAACAAGUGGGUGAUCUGCCCUGCACUUCGGGAUAAGCAUGGGAAACUGGGUCUAAUACUGGAUAGGACGCCUGGCUUCAUGGUUGGGGGUGGAAAGCUUUCGUGGUGUGGGAUGGGCCCGCGGCCUAUAAGGGUGUGGGUGGGGUAAUGGCCUACCAAGGGGACGACGGGUAGCCGGCCUGAGAGGGUGGCCGGUGACGCUGGGACUGAGCUCAGGCCGAGACUACUACGGGGGGCAGCAGUGGUGAAUAUUGCACCAUGGGCGCAAGCCUGAUGCUGCGACGCCGCGUUCGGGAUGACGGCCUUCGGGUUGUAAACCUCUUUCAGCUAUGACGAAGCGCAAGUGACGGUAGUAGCAGAAGAAGGACCGGCCAACUACGUACCAGCAGCCGCAGUAA